GGAAUUUUUAUUUGAAGUAGCCUACCUAUUUCUUCAACUUCUUAAGUGAAGGCUAAUCGUUCUUGUUUUUCUUUUAAUGUUGUUCAGGUUAAAAGGUUAAUCGUUCUUGUUCUUCUAUUAAAUGUUGUUCUCCUAUAAAAACAU